UCUGACAACAUCUAUGCUUUAGUUGAUUGUGCCACUAUAAAUCAGAGGAAAGUUAUGAUGCUUGGCUGAUGAGGUUGUUGUUCUUCUACUGUACUCACUGUUGCAAGAAAAUUCUGCCUUUUUGGAGUAUGUCUUGGUGCGGACUGACAUGGAUGCCUUGUUAAUGCCCAUUCUGAAAGCUCUAUACAAUGCUCCAAGGAGAACAGCUAAUCAAAUUUACAUGUUGC